ACGAAGCUUCACAAAAGAUGUCUAAGCAACAGCCAACUCAGUUUAUAAAUCCAGAAACACCUGGCUAUGUUGGAUUUGCAAAUCUCCCCAAUCAAGUUCACCGAAAAUCAGUGAAAAAAGGUUUUGAGUUCACACUGAUGGUGGUCGGUGAAUCAGGUCUAGGAAAAUCGACUCUCAUAAACAGCCUAUUCCUAACUGAUCUCUACCCAGAAAGAGUCAUACCUGGAGCAGCAGAAAAAAUUGAAAGAACUGUCCAGAUUGAGGCUUCAACUGUUGAAAUUGAAGAGCGAGGGGUCAAGCUACGCCUGACAGUGGUAGAUACCCCUGGCUAUGGUGACGCUAUCAACUGCAGAGAUUGUCACGUUCCUGAAAAGAAUUGGCAGCCCUGGCCAGGUGCGGUGGCUCACGCCUGUAAUCCCAGCACUUUGGGAGGCUGAGGUGGGCUGAUCACAAGGUCAGGAGUUCGAGACCAGCCUGGCCAACAUGGUGAAACCCUGUCACUACUAAAAAUACAAAAAUUAGCCGGGCGUGGUGGCGUGUGCCUAUAAUCCCAGCUACUCGGGAGGUUGAGGCAGGAGAAUCGCUUGAACCCGGGAGGCGGAGGUUGCAGUGAGCUGAGAUUGUGCCACUGCACUCCAGCCUGGGCAACAGAGCGAGACUCAGUCUCAA
rnacentral:sRNA from 1 species